rnacentral:lncRNA from 1 species
AGAGCAUGGGGGAGGAGUUCUGGUGGGGAAAUCAGACCUAGAGCCCUUCUUGAGUCCUUUUUCUAGUUAACCCCACAGCAAGAGUCAGGUCUCAUACCUUGAAAACGUUCAAGUGUUCAGCCCAUCAGUGAGCAAAUGUUUACUGAGCAUCUACAGGGUGGAGCAGCCCUAUGCUAAGCACCAAGGAAAGGAAGAGAGCAGAUUAGAUGUGGCUGCUGCUCCUGUUAACAUUCUAGAAGUACUGAGUAAACAAAUACUCCGACACAUAGUGUUCUAGCUGCCAUCAAGACAAGAGUUAUGAAGGAGACAUUCGGAGGUGGGACAUGAUAAAAAUAUCUGGAGGAGAGCGAUUUGCCCAAGGUCACACAGAAGCAAGACUGGGAAUGGAUUCUGAGAGCCCAUUCCCAAUUUAGGUCUUUAUCACAGACUCCCAUCAAGCCUGUUGACUCCAAGCUUCUCCCGAUUUCUUUCUUGGGUCACAAGUGAUCUACAUGACUUCUCUUCCCUCAAUCCCCAGCCCUGGAUGUGACUUUGGGGGUGACUCUGGAUGGGCUCCUGGACAGCUCCUGAGUGGGACUGGUCACCAGAAAGAUCAAACCAUCAUUAAAAGUUUGGGACUUUCAUCCCUACCCUCCAUGUUCCUUGAAGGGAAGUGGGAUUGGAAAUGGAUAUAAUAAAUGAUCAAGCUUACAUGAUGAAGCAUCCAUAAAAAUCCCAAAAGGAUGAUGUUUGUAGAAUUCCCGAGGUGGUGAACAAAUCCAUGUACCAGGAAGGUAACACACUCGAACUCCAUGGGGACAGAAGUUCCUGCAUUCAGGACCCUUCCAGACCUCACCCAGUGCAUCUCUUCAUCCAGCAGUUUAUCUGGAUCCUUUAUCAUAUAAUAAACUAGUAAAUGUAAGUAAGC